rnacentral:rRNA from 1 species
GACGAACGCUGGCGGCGUGCUUAACACAUGCAAGUCGAACGGAAAGGCCCCUUUGGGGGUACUCGAGUGGCGAACGGGUGAGUAACACGUGAGUAACCUGCCCUUGACUUCGGGAUAACUUCAGGAAACUGGGGCUAAUACCGGAUAGGAAUCCUUGCUUCAUGGUGGGGGUUGGAAAGCUUCGGCGGUUUUGGAUGGACUCGCGGCUUAUCAGCUUGUUGGUGGGGUAGUGGCUUACCAAGGCUUUGGCGGGUAGCCGGCCUGAGGGGGCGACCGGCCACAUUGGGACUGAGAUACGGCCCAGACUCCUACGGGAGGCAGCAGUGGGGAAUAUUGCACGAUGGGCGGAGGCCUGAUGCAGCAACGCCGCGUGCGGGAUGACGGCCUUCGGGUUGUAAACCGCUUUCAGCAGGGGCGAAGCUUGUGGUGACGGUACCUGCAGAAGAAGCACCGGCUAACUACGUG